AGAAGAGAGAGUCGGCUUAUGACCUAAACUACUUAUCCAUCACCCAGUUGCUCAUUGUAAUAGCAACUGUAGACUCUGAUGUUCUCUGCUGGGUUUGUUCCUUCUCAGUGCUGAGUCACAAACUUGACCUGAUCAAAAGGAAUAAAGAAAGAACACUGCUCAACUGGUAUGCUUCUGAUGUACUACGUGAGUUUUUUUUACUAAUAAUAUGGGAAUGAACUUUUCAAGUUUUUUUUUUUUUAAAUAAAUAUGUCUUAAUUUUUAAUUAUUUAAAUUGUAUUUAUGUUAAUCAAAUUAUUAAAAAAUAAAAAAUGAAUCUGGACGCCUUCAUCCACCGCCAUAGCGUCCCAAUUUGUUAACGAGCCCCACCCCCUGUCUGUGUUUGCCAGUGAAGCUCCGACCAUAGAACCACUAGGACUCAACCAUAGUUGCUCUAGCUCCUUAUGGAGAGCGCGUAGAUACUCACAGUAAGUCCAGUGGUUAACGCUGAGCAGAGAACUCAUCGCAUUCAAUGUGAACCCACAGAGGAAGCGUCAGGUUUUCGCUUUGUGUUCCAACCACCGCGAACCAGCUCAUCUCCAUUAUGGAAAGAAAUUUUUCUUAAGAAAUUAUUUUUUAAACAAAGUGAUGACGUAAGAUCUGAUGCAAAAAAUGAAAAUAGCUAAAAGAAAAAUCCAAGGAUUAAAUGGAAUCUCCCCGGUAGAGCCACCAAGUAGGUAGAAGUAUCAAUGCCGUCAUCUUCCCUUUGAGUAGCAUUCUGAGUGACUUUUGGUUCAGUUGAUUCAAGAGGAGAAGAUAAGAAAAUGUCCGGACCUCAGUGCUGUGCUAACCCACCAACUCUAAACCCAGCCAGCGGCGCAGGCCAUGUUGAGAAAGUGGGCGGCCUCAACUCCUAUGUCACUGGCCCUUCUGACUCUAAGCUCGCCAUUAUUCUUAUCUCUGAUGUUUAUGGAUAUGAAGCUCCAAACUUGAGGAAGUUAGCAGACAAGAUUGCAACUACAGGAUUCUAUGUUGUAGUUCCCGACUUCUUCUAUGGAGAUCCUUAUUCCCCUGAUAAUGCCGAGAGACCCAUACAAGUUUGGUUAAAGGAACAUGCGCCUGAGAAGGGAUUUGAAGAUUCCAAACCUGUUGUUCAAGCUCUAAAGAGUAAAGGUGUAUCUGCAAUUGGAGCUGCAGGCUUUUGUUGGGGUGCCAAGGUGGUGGUUCUACUAGGUAAACCUGAGUUUAUCCAAGCUGCUGUGCUGUUACAUCCUUCAUUUGUCUCUGUAU
rnacentral:misc_RNA from 1 species